rnacentral:rRNA from 1 species
CACGUAGGCACCAAGCGUUGUCCGGAUUUAUUGGGCGUAAAGAGCUUGUAGGCGGUUUGUCGCGUCUGCUGUGAAAUUUCGGGGCUCAACCCCGAACUUGCAGUGGGUACGGGCAGACUAGAGUGUGGUAGGGGAGACUGGAAUUCCUGGUGUAGCGGUGAAAUGCGCAGAUAUCAGGAGGAACACCGAUGGCGAAGGCAGGUCUCUGGGCCACUACUGACGCUGAGAAGCGAAAGCAUGGGGAGCGAACAGG